CCACCAGCCUCUCGUCUCUGAUUCUCCACCGAGACCUGCAAGUGUGCUUCCUAUCAGGGAAUCUUAUGCCAUGGACCUGGGUCCCUUCACCGGAGAAUUGGGGAAAUGCUGGGGAUUCCUCAUGCAAUGCUCCAUGGUGUUUAAUCAACAGCCGCUGACUUUUCCUUCGGACCAAACUAAGCCAUCAGACUAGACAAUCGCCUGCAUGACCGACGCUGGGAGAGGGCUAGUCACUCCAGUUCUUCCGCCAACUCGCACUUCUCAACUCCACCUUCCGUGAGAACACACUGGUAUCCACCAGCAAAUCACUCCAUUCCGCCCUCUACACUGCCACCGGAGGAGCCCAUGCAGCUUGGCCAAGCUCAUCUCUCCCUGGCUGAACACACCCAUAGGAGGAACACGGGAAGUUGCAGUCAGCUUGGUCAUCUCUGUGUAUCCUGUCCUAUUUGGCCAAAAGAUCAGACUCACCACGCAGUGGGGGUAGUGCUCUUGUCAAUUCAGGUGCUGAUGACCAAGAAAUGGCAUUACAGCAUGGAAUCCCAUUGGAGCCACUGGAGAAGCCCCUCAUCACCAUUGGAUCACAGGCUCUUGGCCCAAGUGACUCACCAUAUGGUACCGUCACUUUAGUUCUAUCUGGUUAUCAUUGUGAAACAAUCCAACUUAACAUUAUUACUUCCCCUGAUUCCUCGCUUGUUCUAACCCACACAUGGCUAGGUCUCCAUAACCCACACAUCGACUGGUCUGCUGGCCAAAUCAUCAGCUGGCAUUCUUUCUGCCUCUCUACCUGGCUGCAAUCCGCACUCCCACCGACAGAUGGCACCAACACUCCAGCUCUGGAUCCUCCUGAUCUGACGUCCAUUCCUGCAGUCUACCACGACUUGGGUGAGGUUUUCAGGAAGGAUUUGGUUUAUCCGUGAAUCUCUGGCAGCAGGCAUCAUUCGCUCUUCAUCCUCUCCAGUCAAUGCAGGGUUUUUCUUUGUGACCAAGAAGGACAAAUCUUUUCGCCCCUGCAUCGACUAUUGAGGCUUGAACAACAUCACAGUGAAGAACAAAUAUACUCAUCCCCUGUAUAAUGCUGCUUUUGAGCCGCUAGGGGAGCCACCAUCUUUACUAAGCUCAACCUCAGAAAUGCCUACCACCUGGUCAGGAUCCGCAAGGGGGACGAGUGGAAGACAGCGUUCAACACACCCCACGGGCCGAAUACCGUCAUGCUGUUCGCUCUUACCAACGCACCUGCAGUCUUCCAGGCGUUGGUAGAUGAUGGAGGGGUCGGAGUUGCCAUUCGUAGUGUGGACUGACUACAAGAACCUGGCCUACACUCAAUCUGCCAAAAGACUCAACCCUCAACAGCCCCGGUGGGACCUGUUCUUUGGCUGCUUCAACUUUCCCUCACCUACUUGUCUCACCUGCUCUCCAUCCACAAAUCAACACCUGCAGUAUAUCUACCGGCUCUUACCAGUCUUCAACAGAUCUUCACUUUACCCAAGUGGUACUUCGCUUCGGCCUCUGACUUGCCUCACUGAAAGAUUUGCCUGCAUGUUUUCUGAGCCACUGACUAGCUCUCUGACUCCCUGUGUUCAGGUUCAUUCCAUCCACCUGCCUCCAAGUUACUCACCGACUUUCCAGAGAGAUUUCACCACGGAUCCUCAGCUGCUCCACCUCAGCCAGCUGUCUUCACUCCACCUGCCUGCUCUCACCAGUCUCAUUCCAGCCUGCUGUU